rnacentral:rRNA from 1 species
GCUAAUACCGUANUAAGCCCUUCGGGGGAAAGAUUUAUCGGGAAAGGAUGAGCCCGCGUUGGAUUAGCUAGUUGGUGGGGUAAAGGCCUACCAAGGCGACGAUCCAUANCUGGUCUGAGAGGAUGAUCAGCCACAUUGGGACUGAGACACGGCCCAAACUCCUACGGGAGGCAGCAGUGGGGAAUAUUGGACAAUGGGCGCAAGCCUGAUCCAGCCAUGCCGCGUGAGUGAUGAAGGCCCUAGGGUUGUAAAGCUCUUUCACCGGUGAAGAUAAUGACGGUAACCGGAGAAGAAGCCCCGGCUAACUUCGUGCCAGCAGCCGCGGUAAUACGAAGGGGGCUAGCGUUGUUCGGAAUUACUGGGCGUAAAGCGCACGUAGGCGGAUUGUUAAGUGAGGGGUGAAAUCCCAGGGCUCAACCCUGGAACUGCCUUUCAUACUGGCAAUCUAGAGUCCAGAAGAGGUG